GUCCUGAAAGGGCCCUCAGAGAUGAUAUUAUUAAAAUAAUUUUAAAAAAUGACUAACAUCGAGCACUUCUUAUGUGUCAAACACUGAUUCCGUUAAUUCUCUUAUUAACCCUAGCAGCUAAGUCUCCAUUUUAUAGCCCCACUUUACAGAUGGUUAAACAGGCCCAGAAACGUUCUCUAAUUCGCCAAAAUCACACAGUGGGAAUACAAAUUCAGCUCUGAUGCCUCUUCUGACACCAGGGCUUCCACUUAUUUACAGCCCCCUUAUUUUGCAAGUGAGAAAACUAAGAUCUGAGAAGCAGCUACGGAGUUAGUGGGCAACAAGUCAGGACCAGAAGCCAAGAGGACUUUGUCUGUGACCUCCAGGGACGUAAGAGCUUGUUAGUCCCAUCCGUCUGUUUGGACACAGAUCUAGCCAGACUUGUUUAUCGUUUACAGCUCAUUAUAGAAGACCUGGAUCCCUCCCCCCGCCCCCUGAUGCCUUCAAACCUGCAUUUCCAGACUUCUAAUGGGGAGAGAAAAAGUAACCUUACAGACGGGGUUUCGCCAUGUUGGCCAGGCUGGCCUCGAACUCCUGACCCCAAGUGAUGUGCCCACCUCCGCCUGCCAAAGUGUUGGGAUUACAGGCUUGAGCCACUGCGCCCGGCCCAGAGACACUAAAUGCCUUACACAACAUCAGGAGUGUCCAGAUAUAUUCAGAAGCCAUCCUGGGCCACAAGCUCCAAGCACAUCGGAAGAUCACCCAGCCAGGGGACAGCCACAGCAGCAGCAUUUGAACCAGAGACUCCAAGGUUUUUCUCCUGGCUCAUGAAUGCUGGCCCACAGCUCUAUCCUUGGCGACGCGAAUCAUGCCCGCUGCACACUGCCCCCUCUCCCAGGCCCAGCCUGACUCUUCUCCGCCAAGCACACCAAGCACACUCCCGCUCCAGGACCUUUGCAGUGGCUCUUCUGCUUGCAAGUCUUCUCCCCACAACCACGUGGCUCAUUACCUCCUUUUCUUUGCCAAAAGAACUGCCCCAGCAAAGAGGCCUUUCCUAACAACUUUAUGUAAAACAACACCUCGUCCCUUCAUGCUUUGUCUGUAAUGUGCUUUUUUUCUUCAUAGCACUAAUCACCACCUCACAUCAUUUAUAUUUAUUUGUUCACUUA